UACAGAGGGUGCGAGCGUUGUUCGGAAUUACUGGGCGUAAAGCGCGCGUAGGCGGCUUUGUAAGUUAGAGGUGAAAGCCUGGAGCUCAACUUCAGAAUUGCCUUUAAGACUGCAUCGCUUGAAUCCGGGAGAGGUGAGUGGAAUUCCGAGUGUAGAGGUGAAAUUCGUAGAUAUUCGGAAGAGCACCAGUGGCGAAGGCGGCUCACUGGACCGGCAUUGACGCUGAGGUGCGAAAGCGUGGGGAGCAAACAGG
rnacentral:rRNA from 1 species